rnacentral:tRNA from 1 species
ACUUAUAUAGUUUAAAUAAAACUUUAUAUUUUCAUUAUAAAAAUAAAAUUCUUAAUUUUUUUAAGUA